rnacentral:lncRNA from 1 species
UUUUAUUUCCCUUGACCAUAGCAAAUUUAAGGAUUCAGUUCAAGAGAAAAAACUCCCUAAGUGAAGGUAACAUACUGUGAAUGAUUCAAUUUAGGCUUAAAGGGGUGGCAAAUCAAUGGGGUCAUGAGAUAAGGAAGCUCUUUUAGCCUUGUUAUCUAUGUUGAGUAGAGCAAUUAGUUAAGACAAAAUUCUGUGUGUGUGUGCAAGAAGUGUGAAAAAAAAUUCUGGUGUGUGCAAAAAGGGGUAAAAAUAAUGCAAAAAGAAACAAAAAAGGAACAAAAAGAAACAAAUCGAUGAUGGAAUCAAUGCAAAAUUAACCUAACAAUACCCCCACACCUAUGGCAAACAUUGUCCUCAAUGUAUAAGCAUAUAUAUAUAAAGAAUGAAUGAGGAAAGGGAAAGGGAUUUCCUAGCCUGUGGGUGGUUUGGCCAGGGAUUUGGGUAAAUCACUGGUCAAAUCACUGUCUGUCACGGUGCUGGGGCAGAAAAUGGUCUACCAGCAGGUCCAAUAGGUGCUCCAUCCGUUGCAUUCGGUCCUCAAUUCUAGUGAGACGAGCCUCUAUUGUCUGGUUGGGGGCUUCGUCGUCAAGUGGCUGAUGGGCAUCCUGCUGGGGGGCUGCUGGGGGUGCUUCCUGUGCUGGUGCUGGUUCCUGCCCUGUUCCCUGUGUUGUCCCAUCUGCUAGGGCAGCGAUGGAGGCUGGCUGUUGGGUGGUGGUAUUGUUGGCUUUCUUUCGUCUGAAAACACGCUCGUGGCGUGGUGUUACUAGAUCUGCAGGUGCAAUGGAAAAAAUAUCCCCCACUUUGCAAAGCAACCCCAUGUCAUCUAAUGUGCGAAGGUCUAAGGGGGUUGUUUUGGGGGUGGGGGAAAGGUCAGUAUGUG